rnacentral:rRNA from 1 species
AGUGAACGCUGGCGGUAGGCCUAACACAUGCAAGUCGAACGGCAGCACAGUAAGAGCUUGCUCUUACGGGUGGCGAGUGGCGGACGGGUGAGGAAUACAUCGGAAUCUACUUUUUCGUGGGGGAUAACGUAGGGAAACUUACGCUAAUACCGCAUACGACCUACGGGUUAAAGCAGGGGAUCUUCGGACCUUGCGCGAUUGAAUGAGCCGAUGUCGGAUUAGCUAGUUGGCGGGGUAAAGGCCCACCAAGGCGACGAUCCGUAGCUGGUCUGAGAGGAUGAUCAGCCACACUGGAACUGAGACACGGUCCAGACUCCUACGGGAGGCAGCAGUGGGGAAUAUUGGACAAAGGGCGCAAGCCUGAUCCAGCAAUACCGCGUGGGUGAAGAAGGCCUUCGGGUUGUAAAGCCCUUUUGUUGGGAAAGAAAAGCAGCAGGUUAAUACCCCGCUGUUCUGACGGUACCCAAAGAAUAAGCACCGGCUAACUUCGUG